CCCCCACACACACACACACUUUCUGCAUUUGAUACCUGUGUCGUAUACAGCCCUGGUUAGUUAGGGUAUGUCACAGUUAUCUAACAGGAACUCUUGGCUGUAGGCUGUGAUUUAUAUAGGUGACUUACAUAAUUUUAAGUUGUCUAAUGUAACGAUACAGAUUAAUAUCUCUGAAGUACCAGGAACAGAACCAUUUAAACUGCAUGCCUAUACUUCAAUUCAUUGAGAUGAAGUUGUUAUGGGCCAUGUCAGUGUCUGGAUAAAGGGAUCACUAAAACCUGAACGGCCAUUUGAAGACCCCGAGGCAAAAGGCAGAACUUGAAUGGCCAAGGAGCAGCUUGAAGCAAGAGUGGUGUGUGAGCAGAGAGGACUAAUUCGGAUGGGACACCACCGGAGUUCCAGAACACUGAUCUGUUCUUCAUGGGAGACGAGGAUUUGGAUUUGACUCUGAGUAAAGGGAGACAUGAGAACAUUUCUCCUUGAAGGGAAAAUCUAGCUGUCUGAGAACAAUGUAGGAAGCUAGCUAAGAAGCUCCUUUGGUCAUGCAGGUGAGAAAUGUCAGUGGAUGAGACCAGAGUGUAGAAAAAGGUGGUCAGAUUCUAGGUGUAUUUUGAAAAUAGAGACAUCAUGGUACACACUGCAGAGCAAGACAUGGAGAAGUCACCCACAGAAAGGCUCACACAUGUGAACAUGUGGAAUGGUAUGGUUGGAUGACACUUUGUGUGAUUUUCUGUCUUUCUAAAUGUAUAUUAUAGGUAUUUUGUAAGCUGAACAGGGAUAUUUAGGGGUCACUGUCUGUUCAUAUUGUUCCCUGUCCCAGCCCUGGGAUAGCUUCACCUGUUUCUGACCUUUCCACUCUAGAAGAUCAAAAUCAUGGAGAAAAGAAUGUGCUGGCCCAUAGGCACUAUUAUGUGAAAACAAGCAAGGUGAUUGUGAUGUCACUGAGAUGAGGGAUUUCUCGGUAGUGUGACCCAUAGAUGUAAGUCACUUGUCAGGGUAAAGGCACAUUGAAGAAAGGCACCAUAGCUUUGCCUGCUCCAUAGCCUUAUGGUGUUGUCAGGCCCUGGAACUAACAGGGAUAAAAGAAAAGAAGUGGAAUGCCCCAACAGCCAAGCAGGCAGACAGAAUGAGACCCCUGAGGGACAUAGGACCAUCCAUCCCCAAAGAAAACAUGAUCCCUGUGCCUUGAGGGGAGGAAUUUGAUAAAGACAUCCCACUUACGGCAGAGCACUUCAAAGUUUCUCACUCUUCGCCAUUGUCUAGUUGUGGAAGUCUAGUUAAUUACCAUCUACUGUGAGAAGCUUCUCUGAGGAGGAUGGAGUGAUACUUUGAUCUAUGGAUAUAGAAGUAUGUCAUUAGGAGUCGUGUUAUCACUUUGUUCCUUUAGCAGAAUAAUAGUAGUACAUUUUCUCAUAGGCCCAUGAACUGUCUAGUCUCAUGUUCUUAGUCAUGUUAGCAGUUUCAGGUAUGGGUUCGAUCUCAUAUAGUGGGGCUUAAAAGCAGACAGGAAAGUGCCUGCUUAUUCCCUAGCAUUUUGCUACUAUUGCAUUAGUGUGUCUUGCAGGCCAGUCUCUGUCAUACAUCAUAGGGUUUGUAACUGGGUGGUACUGAUGAUUACAUUCUCCUUGGGUAUUAUGCAAACCAUGAGUCCCACUCAGUGAAGGGAUGAAGCUUCUAUUUGGGCACCAGCUCAAUUUUUCCAUGUUUAAUGACAUAAGGAAGUGAUGUUUCUGGCAAUAGGGCCUUACAGUCAGGUUGUAGAGCUUUUACCAUAGCUCGUUAUGUUGUGGGUAUGGCAGGGCGUCUAUAAUACCCAGUUGACCAAAGACUCAAUAAUAUAGAACCCACCUGCUGUCCUCACUGUGUGUGACUGGGCAGAGGGUACCAGUCGGUGUGUGGGAAAGCAUAGACAAUUGCUGUAGACAGAAGACACAUUUGUAUGUUUUUAGACUCUCGAAGUUUGAUAAACUCCUUUCCCUGUGGUCAGUCAUGUGUUGAUUGGCCAGGUCUCUCCCUUGUAUUUUAUACAAAAAUAGAAUUGAUAAACAUUUUUUACAAAAAAAA
rnacentral:sRNA from 1 species